CAAUAGCGUAUAUUAAAGUUGUUGCAGUUAAAAAGCUCGUAGUUGGAUUUCGGAGUGGGCCAGUUGGUCCGCCGCAAGGUGUGUUACUGACUGGUUUGCUCUUAUUCGCAAAGACUGCGUGUGCUCUUGAGUGAGUGUGCGUAGGAUUUACGACGUUUACUUUGAAAAAAUUAGUGUUCAAAGCAGGCUAUUGCUUGAAUACAUGAGAAUGGAAUAAUGGAAUAGGACUUUGGUCCCAUUUUGUUGGUUUCUAGAGCCGAAGUAAUGAUUAGGAGGGACAAUUGGGGGCAUCCGUAUUUCGUUGUCAGAGGUGAAAUUCUUUGAUUCGAAAGACGAACAACUGCGAAAGCACUUGAGAAGAGUGUCUUCAUUAAUCAAGAACAAAAGUUAGAGGAUCGAAGAUGAUUAGAU
rnacentral:rRNA from 1 species